rnacentral:rRNA from 1 species
AUUGAACGCUGGCGGCAGGCCUAACACAUGCAAGUCGAACGAGUGGCGGACGGGUGAGUAAUGUCUGGGAAACUGCCUGAUGGAGGGGGAUAACUACUGGAAACGGUAGCUAAUACCGCAUACCAUCGGAUGUGCCCAGAUGGGAUUGGCUAGUAGGUGGGGUAAUGGCUCACCUAGUCGACGAUCCCUAGCUGGUCUGAGAGGAUGACCGGCCCCACUGGAACUGAGACACGGUCCAGACUCCUACGGGAGGCAGCAGUGGGGAAUAUUGCACAUUGGGCGCAAGCCUGAUGCAGCCAUGCCGCGUGUGUGAAGAAGGCCUUCGGGUUGUAAAGUACUUUCAGCGGGGAGGCGUUACCCGCAGAAGAAGCACCGGCUAACUCCGUGCCAGCAGCCGCGGUAAUUC